rnacentral:rRNA from 1 species
GAGUUUGAUCAUGGCUCAGAUUGAACGCUGGCGGCAGGCUUAACACAUGCAAGUCGAACGAUGAUUACUAGCUUGCUAGUAUGAUUAGUGGCGAACGGGUGAGUAAUGCUUAGGAAUCUGCCUAUUAGUGGGGGACAACAUUCCGAAAGGAAUGCUAAUACCGCAUACGUCCUACGGGAGAAAGCAGGGGAUCUUUUGACCUUGCGCUAAUAGAUGAGCCUAAGUCGGAUUAGCUAGUUGGUGGGGUAAAGGCCUACCAAGGCGACGAUCUGUAGCUGGUCUGAGAGGAUGAUCAGCCACACUGGGACUGAGACACGGCCCAGACUCCUACGGGAGGCAGCAGUGGGGAAUAUUGGACAAUGGGCGAAAGCCUGAUCCAGCCAUGCCGCGUGUGUGAAGAAGGCCUUUUGGUUGUAAAGCACUUUAAGUGGGGAGGAAAAGCUAAUAAUUAAUACCUAUUAGCC